AUACCUUCCUCGGUCUUUUGGCUAAGAUCAAGUGUAGUAUUUGUUCUUAUCAGUUUAAUAUUUGAUAUGUGAUCCACCAAUAACAUUUCGAUUUUUACAAUUCUUUUUUUAGUUGAGCUGCAAUAUCAAUCUUGUAGAUGUGCAGCAAAUCCUGUUGAUGAGGUAGAUUCAGUUCUACACUGUAAGGUGGGGGAGCUUCC